AAGACUAUACUUUCAGGGAUCAUUUCUAUAGUAUUUAACUUGGUAAUGUGUUUCGAAAGUGUUUUGUCUUCCAAACCACGAUGAAGACUUGUGAUACUUCUUUCUGAGCGUGAAUCAGAUGUAGAGUAAUGAUUUAAUCAUAUACUCUGCGUCAUUGAUGAACGUUUAACAUCGCUUUUAAUGAUGUUAAUGGAAGAAGUAUGAACAGAGUGGU